CAGCCUCUCAAAGUGCUGGGAUUACCGGCCUGAACCACUGCACCCGCCCCUUCAUUAAUUUUUUAAAUAAGGUCUCUUUUCAGGUUUGCAUUUUUGUCCAUCUAGAAUCCAGAGAGCUGGUUGCUCUGGGCCCAGGGGAGUAUGCUGGGUGUGCAGGAGAAUGCCACCAACACCCACACUCAGGGCUCCCUACGAAGAUGCCACUAGAGUCCAAUACUUAGACCCACUGGCCAUCCUCCAGAACAUAAAAACUCACGUAUUUUGUUAGCGGGAUUAAAUUAAACUAAGAAAUGAAUCUGGGAAAGUGUUGCCCAUUAAGUUAUCCCAUCCAGGAGCACCAUGUCUCUGUAUGUAUUAAAUUCCUGUUUUGAUUUUUUAAAUGAAUCUUCGUAGAUUUCUUCAUGUAGGUCACACAAAGUCCUUGCUGCUUUGUAGCCCAUGUUUUCUUUUUCCUGAGUUCAAAAUGUUUUCUGAAAUUAUCGUAGGUUUUGGCCAAGAAUGCUGUCUCAUUCUGCAUUUUUAAAGCAUAAUAGUCCCUUAUUCCCUUCUGUUGUCUUUUAUCAGCCUAGUAUUUGUUUCCAAGUAUUACCUUUAAACACAGUUCCUGGUCUGAAGUGCCGCCUGGGAGGACAGAGGUCCCCCAUCAUGGGAGGCCAAAUCUCCUCCCCCUGUGGCCACUCCUCCGAGCAGGGGGUACCCGCUGUGGAUUUCACCUCAAGUAAGGUGCUUGGUGUGGGGGCAGGGGUUCUACUUCUUCCUUCAGGGUCCCCAGGGACAGAGCUCCAGGCUCCCUUGGAUGUGGCUCUGCCAGUUCUAGGGGAGGCUCUCCUGACCUGACCAGCCCCAGGUGUGCUCCGGCCAGCUUCCAAGGGACUAGUGCAGUCAAGACUUGGGCCUGGACCAUGGGUCUGGCAGGGGAUUGGCUGGAUUUGCUGGUGAUUCACUAUUUUGAGGCAACGAGAUAAGGAGCAGAGGCCAGCACGGGGACCCAGGUGGUCAUAAAGGGUGACUUCUUACUCAGCACUUGUUUCAUUUGCUGUGCACAUAGUUCCUUUCAGGGCCUCAUGUGGAGGGGGCUUUUCAUUCACGCAUUCACUCAGCAAAUGUUUGUGGUGGGCCAGCUGCACACAGGCACUGUGGGUCAGGCAACAUGUGAGUGAGCGGCACAGCCUACCGGCCCUGGCUGUGGAGCUUGUGUUGAGGGGAAGAGGGCAACCAAAACCACGGCAAAUAUGUAAAAUGCACACGUUAGAGACCGUGCGAUUUCAAGAAACAUCACACGAGAAGCGAAAUGUUAAAAUGUAGGCAGGAGACGAAGGUUUCCCUGGGUCUCCAGGAAAAACUUCAAAGAUAAGGAGACUUUGAGUAAAGACCUGAAGGAAGCUAAGGAGGUGUCUAUUCCUGCCCAAGGGAAGAAUAUUCCAGGCAAAAACGCCCAAGGUGGGAGAGCACCUGGGUUUCCUGAGAAACUGCAGAGUCCAGUGUGGCCGGAGCAUGGGGAACAAAGGGGAGGACAGGAGGAAAUAAACCUGGGAUGUCACGAGGGGCUGGGUCGUGUCAGGCCUUGAGUCCACUGGAAGGACUCUGCUGUUUACACAUUGCAAGGUGGGAAGUCACUGGGGAGCCCUGAGUGGGGAAGCGACAUGAUCUCGCUGGCAUUGAGCAGGGGCUCUCUGGCUGCUGCUUUAAAAACACACUGGAAGGAAGAGGAGGGAGGAAGUUGGGAGACCUUGCAAGAAUCUAGGCCAGACACGAUGGUGUGAACAGGGUGGGAGUGACGUAGGUGGUGAGAAUUUGGCAGAAUUGUAGUUAGGGGAGAGUUGUCGCUGGCAGGGCGGUAUUGCAUGUCAUUUGUAAAGCCUGUGGCUAACCUUUUGCUUGUUUUGCACCUGCUCUUACAGACUACAGAGAGAAGCUGGCUGCUCCUUACCUGCUCGUCUUGCUGCCUGUGACAAAGCUUAUUUUUGGGUGACAUGAAGCAUCUUAUCUUUCCCAUACCAGAAGCUAUAAUCUGUUUUCAUGUGUCUCUCUCUGAAUCUGCCUUCUUCUAUUGUGGCCAUCACAGCUUUGACUACGCCCAUUGAAUUGCUAUACCCACUUCCAGCUUUCCUGAAUUUUUGGGAUUUGGAGAGCUCCAAUAAGUAUAGGAAGAGAGGAGCAAGCAGAGGCUUUGAGACUGACUGGUGCAGGCCUGGAGCUAUCGAGGGCAGGUGAAAUGUGCAGGUAGGCAGAGGUCUGGGCUGAUCUUCAGAGUCCGAUUGCACUUUUAUCCUGGUAAUCAGUUCUGGAGUCAGAUAUACCAAUCCCUAUUCCUAGCUUCCAGAACAGUAUUAUUUUGCAUCAUUUUGGAAGCUUUCAUAAAACUAUUUUUAUGGAAGUUGCUUUUUGGGGGAAGGAGAGGCAUCCAAGAAAAUCUAUCAUCAGUCAACCUGCUAACUGGACAGCACCUUUUCCAAUCACAUGUUUUUCUACUGGAUAAUAUUUUAAAUUCUACAAUCACAUGAGGGUCUCAGAUAUUGAAAAACAAGCAGUAGCACAUUUCAACAUAAGGAUAUUAAAACCCAUAGGCAUGCACUGACUCGGAUAUAUGCAACUGUGUGUGGUCAACUCUUGUCUUUACCAUUAUAGCAUCUAAAAAGUCCCGGAGACAAAAUAAAUUAUGUUAGUAGGUGAUAAGAUAUUGAGGGCUAAUGAGGCAAGAAAUAUUAUAAUAUCCAAAUUGUGAUUUUUUGUUUAGUAACUAUUGUUUCCAUAUUGAAAGUCUAUGAAAACAUAAAGAGUUUCCAGAUGUGAUAUUGAACAUAGAACUAGAGGUUCUGGAUGAUAAUGUCACCCAGCCAGGGAGAAGGAGAAGUUAGAUUUUGGAUCUCGCCUCAACAUGUCAGCUAAAGGAGAAUACAUGUCUACUGACAGCUAUGAGCCAGAGGGGCUCAUAGUUUUCCACAACUCUGAAAACUGGGUCUCUACAAGUAAGCACAGUAAUCAGAAUAUUAAAAAGCAUGAGUGUCAGGAAACAGUGUUCCACAAAUGUUUUUAUGCUUUUGGCAUUAAUGAUUUCUGAGCAAAGGCACUUGGGUUAAAGAAUGAUUAUUGGCUACUUUAAAGAGGCUUCUAGAGAGAUAUAAAGUCUUCUCUCUUCUGGAGAUGGUGAUAGCCUACAGUCCUUUGCCUCCUCUCCCCAGAGAGAUUUAUUUUAAAUUCCACAGUGGAGAUCUGCCUUUGGCCAAUUAAAUGUGAUGUUCACUGUAAGCAAGACGUUUUAAGAGGUAUCAUGAGUUUCACCAUCCCUCUUGCUACUGCCCUCUUUCCCGUAAGAACACCAUGUUCUAGUUCUAGAUUGGGCUAUGCCUUCAGCCUACACUUCUGAAGCACAUCUGAGCCCAAACCAGAACGGGAAGGAAAGCUGCAGCUGACCCACAGCCAAAUGUGGUGUGAGUGAGAAAUAAACCUUUUCUGUGGAAGCCAGUGAGAUUGUGUGGAUGUUUAUUUCACAGCAUAACCAGCAAAAGGAAGCUAAUGCAGUUGCAUAGCCAGCCUCCAUUUCUACCCCUCUUCCGAAUUAAAUUCUAUUGCUCAGGGCAAGAUGGCAUGUCCUGAUUCUUUUAUGCCACCAGCACUUGGCUUUUCCCUAAAUCAACCCACUUCGAAGGAGGGGUCUUAUAGUUCACCAGUGGAGGAGAGGUUACGGCACAAAUAGAAACUUGCAAGGUUGCACUGAAGGGUGUCUGUCUUCUUUCCCGUGGCCCAUUCAAACUAUCCCAACCAACCAGGUCCUCUACUUUUUCUUUCUGUAUUUUCUGUUUUUUUUUUUCCUUUCAUUGAAAUUUCAAGCUCUUUCCUUAUGAUCUUUCCCUGAUUACUGUCAACUCUGGGAUCAAAUUCCUCCCAGAGGUUGUUACGUCAGAACACAUUUUGUGUGCCCCCCUCAAUGUUACCACCGGGACUUGGCUCCUGUUGACAACAGCUGAGGAGCUAUAUUACUGGUACAAGCCCACAGUGGAAUUCCUGUAUCUUCACUAGGUUUUCAUCCCAAGCAUUGAAAACCACGGGAAGUAAGUCUCCAGCAUCAUCCAAGGACUACAUAAUCUCCUUGAAUCUAUUAUCUUGGGUCCUUUUCAAUCUCUUUAGCUGGCAAGCAGUGAAUCUCCGUGAAGGCACUAAUACAAUCACAAUGUUGAAUUUCACAGACUAAACUGGCUGGAACAGAGAGGGAGUAGGAGGAAGACCUGCCAAGGGAGGUGAUCAUCUUGGCUGCUUUCACUGUUUACCAUGGCCCAGGAGGGGCUUCUGACAAAAUAGCACUCGGAGUAUGCUAGAGAUUGCUCAUAUUGCGCCAAAGAGCUUAAAGGAUCUCAUAUUUACAGAUUUAGUGAAAUAGCUUCCCUAAGCGGCAUCCAAUAGUUUGAGGAAGGUGGAACGAUUUUAAGGUGGCCCAUUGAGCAAAGCAAGAUAACAUAGCUUGGUGGAAAUCAAUUCAGUGAAUCCAUGUCAUGUGAUGACACCGACAGGGAUGCUUUCAGAUUUGUGAAUACCCAGAAACAAAGAGUUACAUUCAAGGGGUUGUGAUGGGAGGGACAUAUGAUUCCCAGCUAUGGAAAAGACAGAAGAGCAGAGGAAGGUAGAGAAGCCCCAGUUCAAGUCUCAUUCUGCUACUUUCUGGCUCUGAGAUCUUCUGCAAGUUACUCAGC